rnacentral:rRNA from 1 species
UACGGGGGGGGCAAGCGUUGUUCGGAAUUACUGGGCGUAAAGGGCUCGUAGGCGGCCAACUAAGUCAGACGUGAAAUCCCUCGGCUUAACCGGGGAACUGCGUCUGAUACUGGAUGGCUUGAGUUUGGGAGAGGGAUGCGGAAUUCCAGGUGUAGCGGUGAAAUGCGUAGAUAUCUGGAAGAACACCCGUGGCUAAGGCGGCUCUCUAGUACGGUACUGACGCUGAGACGCGAAAGCGUGGGGAGCGAACAGG